CUUCUUUUUCCACCGGAGCUUGCUCCACCGGAAAAAGAAGAGUGGCGAACGGGUGAGUAACACGUGGGUAACCUGCCCAUCAGAAGGGGAUAACACUUGGAAACAGGUGCUAAUACCGUAUAACAAUCGAAACCGCAUGGUUUUGAUUUGAAAGGCGCUUUCGGGUGUCGCUGAUGGAUGGACCCGCGGUGCAUUAGCUAGUUGGUGAGGUAACGGCUCACCAAGGCCACGAUGCAUAGCCGACCUGAGAGGGUGAUCGGCCACAUUGGGACUGAGACACGGCCCAAACUCCUACGGGAGGCAGCAGUAGGGAAUCUUCGGCAAUGGACGAAAGUCUGACCGAGCAACGCCGCGUGAGUGAAGAAGGUUUUCGGAUCGUAAAACUCUGUU
rnacentral:rRNA from 1 species